GACGAACGCUGGCGGCGUGCUUAACACAUGCAAGUCGAACGGAAAGGCCCUGCUUUUGUGGGGUGCUCGAGUGGCGAACGGGUGAGUAACACGUGAGUAACCUGCCCUUGACUUUGGGAUAACUUCAGGAAACUGGGGCUAAUAUCGGAUAGGAGCUCCUGCUGCAUGGUGGGGGUUGGAAAGUUUCGGCGGUUGGGGAUGGACUCGCGGCUUAUCAGCUUGUUGGUGGGGUAGUGGCUGACCAAGGCUUUGACGGGUAGCCGGCCUGAGAGGGUGACCGGCGACAUUGGGACUAAGAUACGGCCCAGACUGCUACGGGAGGCAGCAGUGGGGAAUAUUACACAAUGGGCGGAAGCCUGAUGCAGCAACGCCGCGUGCGGGAUGACGGCCUUCGGGUUGUAAACCGCUUUCGCCUGUGACGAAGCGUGAGUGACGGUAAUGGGUAAAGAAGCACCGGCUAACUACGUG
rnacentral:rRNA from 1 species